rfam:Triticum urartu cultivar G1812 contig623991, whole genome shotgun sequence.
UUACUACUCCCUCUGUUUGAAAAAGGUUGUCCCUUAAAUGGAUGUAUUUAGCACCAAAUUAGUGAUAGAUACAUCCAUUUGACAGACAAGCUUGGGACAAGCUUUUCUGGAUGGAGAGAGUACUUC